rnacentral:rRNA from 1 species
GACGAACGCUGGCGGCGUGCCUAAUACAUGCAAGUUGAGCGCUGAAGGUUGGUACUUGUACCAACUGGAUGAGCAGCGAACGGGUGAGUAACGCGUGGGGAAUCUGCCUUUGAGCGGGGGACAACAUUUGGAAACGAAUGCUAAUACCGCAUAAAAACUUUAAACACAAGUUUUAAGUUUGAAAGAUGCAAUUGCAUCACUCAAAGAUGAUCCCGCGUUGUAUUAGCUAGUUGGUGAGGUAAAGGCUCACCAAGGCGAUGAUACAUAGCCGACCUGAGAGGGUGAUCGGCCACAUUGGGACGGAGACACGGCCCAAACUCCUACGGGAGGCAGCAGUAGGGAAUCUUCGGCAAUGGACGAAAGUCUGACCGAGCAACGCCACGUGAGUGAAGAAGGUUUUCGGAUCGUAAAACUCUGUUGGUAGAGAAGAACGUUGGUGAGAGUGGAAAGCUCAUCAAGUGACGGUAACUACCCAGAAAGGGACGGCUAACUACGUG